UUUCCGUAGGUGAACCUGCGGAAGGAUCAUUAAAGAGAAUAUGCCCUUCGGGGUAGAUCUCCCACCCUUUGUUUAUAUUACCUUUGUUGCUUUGGCAGGCCCGUCUUUGGACCACCGGCUUCGGCUGGUCAGUGCUUGCCAGAGGACCCAAAACUCUUAUUAUUAAUGUCGUCUGAGUACUAUAUAAUAGUUAAAACUUUCAACAACGGAUCUCUUGGUUCUG
rnacentral:misc_RNA from 1 species